rnacentral:rRNA from 1 species
AGAGUUUGAUCCUGGCUCAGAUUGAACGCUGGCGGCAUGCUUUACACAUGCAAGUCGAACGGCAGCGCGGGGCAACCUGGCGGCGAGUGGCGAACGGGUGAGUAAUAUAUCGGAACGUACCCAAGAGUGGGGGAUAACGUAGCGAAAGUUACGCUAAUACCGCAUACGAUCUAAGGAUGAAAGCAGGGGAUCUUCGGACCUUGUGCUCCUGGAGCGGCCGAUAUCUGAUUAGCUAGUUGGUGAGGUAAAGGCUCACCAAGGCCACGAUCAGUAGCCGGUCUGAGAGGACGACCAGCUACACUGGAACUGAGACACGGUCCAGACUCCUACGGGAGGCAGCAGUGGGGAAUUUUGGACAAUGGGCGAAAGCCUGAUCCAGCAAUGCCGCGUGAGUGAAGAAGGCCUUCGGGUUGUAAAGCUCUUUUGUCAGGGAAGAAACGGUGAGGGCUAAUAUCCCUUGCUAAUGACGGUACCUGAAGAAUAAGCACCGGCUAACUACGUGCCAGCAGCCGCGGUAAUACGUAGGGUGCAAGCGUUAAUCGGAAUUACUGGGCGUAAAGCGUGCGCAGGCUGUUUUGUAAGUCUGACGUGAAAUCCCCGGGCUCAACCUGGGAAUUGCGUUGGAGACUGCAAGGCUAGAAUCUGGCAGAGGGGGGUAGAAUUCCACGUGUAGCAGUGAAAUGCGUAGAGAUGUGGAGGAACACCGAUGGCGAAGGCAGCCCCCUGGGUCAAGAUUGACGCUCAUGCACGAAAGCGUGGGGAGCAAACAGGAUUAGAUACCCUGGUAGUCCACGCCCUAAACGAUGUCUACUAGUUGUCGGGUUUUAAUUAACUUGGUAACGCAGCUAACGCGUGAAGUAGACCGCCUGGGGAGUACGGUCGCAAGAUUAAAACUCAAAGGAAUUGACGGGGACCCGCACAAGCGGUGGAUGAUGUGGAUUAAUUCGAUGCAACGCGAAAAACCUUACCUACCCUUGACAUGUCAGGAAUCCUUGAGAGAUCAGGGAGUGCCCGAAAGGGAACCUGAACACAGGUGCUGCAUGGCUGUCGUCAGCUCGUGUCGUGAGAUGUUGGGUUAAGUCCCGCAACGAGCGCAACCCUUGUCAUUAGUUGCUACAUUCAGUUGGGCACUCUAAUGAGACUGCCGGUGACAAACCGGAGGAAGGUGGGGAUGACGUCAAGUCCUCAUGGCCCUUAUAGGUGGGGCUACACACGUCAUACAAUGGCUGGUACAAAGGGUUGCCAACCCGCGAGGGGGAGCUAAUCCCAUAAAACCAGUCGUAGUCCGGAUCGCAGUCUGCAACUCGACUGCGUGAAGUCGGAAUCGCUAGUAAUCGUGGAUCAGAAUGUCACGGUGAAUACGUUCCCGGGUCUUGUACACACCGCCCGUCACACCAUGGGAGCGGGUUCUGCCAGAAGUAGUUAGCCUAACCGCAAGGAGGGCGAUUACCACGGCAGGGUUCGUGACUGGGGUGAAGUCGUAACAAGGUAACC